CAGUAUCAUGAGUGUUCAUAUAUCAUCACAUUUUCAAAGUGUUUUAAGAAAACAAUUCUUCUCAUGCUUGCUUCAUAUACAUAACCUCAACUUUCAGUUCCUGAAGAAGAGUCAAUAAAGUCUCGAAAGCUUCAACA